AUCCUCCAGACUCCUUACCCAUCAGAUCCCAACAUGAGUUGAAUGGACAUAAAAGGAGGAAGAGUAAAACUGAAACAGACUUGGAUUCUUUUGUGACCUACAAGUUGUUUUGUUUUUUAAAGUC
rnacentral:snoRNA from 1 species